rnacentral:rRNA from 1 species
GACGAACGCUGGCGGCGUGCCUAAUACAUGCAAGUCGAACGCUGAAGAGAGGAGCUUGCUCUUCUUGGAUGAGUUGCGAACGGGUGAGUAACGCGUAGGUAACCUGCCUUGUAGCGGGGGAUAACUAUUGGAAACGAUAGCUAAUACCGCAUAACAAUGGAUGACCCAUGUCAUUUAUUUGAAAGGGGCAAAUGCUCCACUACAAGAUGGACCUGCGUUGUAUUAGCUAGUAGGUGAGGUAACGGCUCACCUAGGCGACGAUACAUAGCCGACCUGAGAGGGGGAGAGGACACACUGGGACGGAGACACGGCCCAGAAUCCUACGGGAGGCAGCAGUAGGGAAUCUUCGGCAAUGGGGGCAACCCUGACCGAGCAACGCCGCGUGAGUGAAGAAGGUUUUCGGAUCGUAAAGCUCUGUUGUAAGUCAAGAACGAGUGUGAGAGUGGAAAGUUCACACUGUGACGGUAGCUUAACAGAAAGGGGCGGCUAACUACGUG